GAUGAACGCUGGCGGCGUGCCUAAUACAUGCAAGUCGAGCGAACGGACGAGAAGCUUGCUUCUCUGAUGUUAGCGGCGGACGGGUGAGUAACACGUGGAUAACCUACCUAUAAGACUGGGAUAACUUCGGGAAACCGGAGCUAAUACCGGAUAAUAUUUUGAACCGCAUGGUUCAAAAGUGAAAGCCGGUCUUGCUGUCACUUAUAGAUGGAUCCGCGCUGCAUUAGCUAGUUGGUAAGGUAACGGCUUACCAAGGCAACGAUGCAUAGCCGACCUGAGAGGGUGAUCAGCCACACUGGAACUGAGACACGGUCCAGACUCCUACGGGAGGCAGCAGUAGGGAAUCUUCCGGAAAGGGCGAAAGCCUGACGGAGCAACGCCGCGUGAGUGAUGAAGGUCUUCGGAUCGUAAACCUCUGUUAUUAGGGAAGAACAUAUGUGUAAGUAACUGUGCACAUCUUGACGGUACCUAAUCAGAAAGCCACGGCUAACUACGUG
rnacentral:rRNA from 1 species